UGCUACAAUGGGUAGUACAGAGGGUUGCCAAGCCGUAAGGUGGAGCUAAUCCCUUAAAGCUACUCUCAGUUCGGAUUGUAGGCUGAAACUCGCCUACAUGAAGCUGGAGUUACUAGUAAUCGCAGAUCAGAAUGCUGCGGUGAAUGCGUUCCCGGGUCUUGUACACACCGCCCGUCACACCACGGGAGUUGGAGACGCCCGAAGCCGACUAUCUAACCUUUUGGAAGAAGUCGUCGAAGGUGGAAUCAAUAACUGGGGUGAAGUCGUAACAAGGUAGCCGUAUCGGAAGGUGCGGCUGGAUCACCUCCUUUCUAAGGAGA
rnacentral:rRNA from 1 species